rnacentral:rRNA from 1 species
GGCCAGACUCCUACGGGAGGCAGCAGUGGGGGAUAUUGCACAAUGGGGGGAACCCUGAUGCAGCGACGCCGCGUGGGUGAAGAAGCGCCUCGGCGCGUAAAGCCCUGUCAGCAGGGAAGAAAAUGACGGUACCUGAAGAAGAAGCCCCGGCUAACUACGUGCCAGCAGCCGCGGUAAUACGUAGGGGGCAAGCGUUAUCCGGAUUUACUGGGUGUAAAGGGGGCGCAGACGGCGAUGCAAGCCAGGAGUGAAAGCCUGGGGCCCAACCCCGGGACUGCUCUUGGAACUGCGUGGCUGGAGUGCAGGAGGGGCAGGCGGAAUUCCUGGUGUAGCGGUGAAAUGCGUAGAUAUCAGGAGGAACACCGGUGGCGAAGGCGGCCUGCUGGACUGCAACUGACGUUGAGGCCCGAAAGCGUGGGGAGCAAACAGGAUUAGAUACCCGAGUAAU